rnacentral:rRNA from 2 species
UGCAAGUCGAGCGAACUGAUUAGAAGCUUGCUUCUAUGACGUUAGCGGCGGACGGGUGAGUAACACGUGGGCAACCUGCCUGUAAGACUGGGAUAACUUCGGGAAACCGAAGCUAAUACCGGAUAGGAUCUUCUCCUUCAUGGGAGAUGAUUGAAAGAUGGUUUCGGCUAUCACUUACAGAUGGGCCCGCGGUGCAUUAGCUAGUUGGUGAGGUAACGGCUCACCAAGGCCACGAUGCAUAGCCGACCUGAGAGGGUGAUCGGCCACACUGGGACUGAGACACGGCCCAGACUCCUACGGGAGGCAGCAGUAGGGAAUCUUCCGCAAUGGACGAAAGUCUGACGGAGCAACGCCGCGUGAGUGAUGAAGGCUUUCGGGUCGUAAAACUCUGUUGUUAGGGAAGAACAAGUACAAGAGUAACUGCUUGUACCUUGACGGUACCUAACCAGAAAGCCACGGCUAACUACGUGCCAGCAGCCGCGGUAAUACGUAGGUGGCAAGCGUUAUCCGGAAUUAUUGGGCGUAAAGCGCGCGCAGGCGGUUUCUUAAGUCUGAUGUGAAAGCCCACGGCUCAACCGUGGAGGGUCAUUGGAAACUGGGGAACUUGAGUGCAGAAGAGAAAAGCGGAAUUCCACGUGUAGCGGUGAAAUGCGUAGAGAUGUGGAGGAACACCAGUGGCGAAGGCGGCUUUUUGGUCUGUAACUGACGCUGAGGCGCGAAAGCGUGGGGAGCAAACAGGAUUAGAUACCCUGGUAGUCCACGCCGUAAACGAUGAGUGCUAAGUGUUAGAGGGUUUCCGCCCUUUAGUGCUGCAGCUAACGCAUUAAGCACUCCGCCCUGGGGAGUACGGUCGCAAGACUGAAACUCAAAGGAAUUGACGGGGGCCCGCACAAGCGGUGGAGCAUGGUGGUUUAAUUCGAAGCAACGCG